AGCACCACAAGACAGGGAAGGUGUUUGGUCCAUGAGAGAAAUUCUAAUACUGCUGUUGCCCUUUCUCAUUUUAACAGGAUGAAAACAAAACAAAGCGCUCUGGCACAAACAAGUCCAGUUACAGUUGUCACCUUGCUGCAAAUCUAGGCACAGCUACCAACACAUUUCGUUAAAUAGACAGGAGGCAAACAGAGGGUAAAGCGACAAAUAUAACAGCUUUAAAGAAGCAAGGAGGUACGGAUGAGGAUACGAAUCCUUAUGCACUCCAGCAGAAUACAGCUUCAACCACAGCUGGUGCCAAGCUUUUUCACUACAAUGGUUUCUCUUACAAACAAAAUUUAGGUUCAGCCUGGACCCUAAGCUCUUCAAUACAUGCUUCUUCAGACAUCAAUGUACAAACAGAAAGCAAAACCAACUCAGAUUUCCAAGAAUAAGAUCAUGAAGAAAGGAAAAUUAUAAGCAUAUACUAUAAAGCUAGGGAAACAAUUUUCAUCUAUUUUUAAGGAGUCAAUAUCCUUUGAAGCUGACAUUUAUUUUGAGAGACUGUGAUCUCUCUCCUACUUUCCUCAUUUACUUCCUGCACAUGCUCACUCGGAUGCUCAAAAUGCUCACUGUAAGAAAUUGCAAUGCGCUUUCUACACUGAGCAUGUUUCAGUCUCUAGCUGCUGAUGAAAUUCAUCUGUAAUUCUUCAUUUGGCACAUAGGAAAAAAAGGCUGAACAUGAGAUCAGGUAUCAAAAUCUUUUUAAAUAUUUAUCUCAUGUACUUCUUACCACCAUAUGCGCUGUCACACUCCAAAAUCUUACCUCUAGGCACAGACUAGUCCUUAACUAAGAAUUUAGUGACAGAGAUAGCCUACGGUCAUUUAGUACAGCAUAAAAUAGAGAACCGGGGAUGACAAAUGAAAAACAUGCCCAUACCCGCUCUUAAGCAUGUUACAUGUUUGCCUUGUGCUGUCUCAUUUGCUCAUUUUUCAAGACUACAUUUUUAGAAUGAAAACAUCAAUUUUGAGGUAUAUGGAAGUCCUUACUGCUAGUCCUGUGCUUCUACAAAUUAAUACACCCAUAAUCGAACAUAAUACAUAUGCUAAUACUGGUGAAGGAAAAUGAAAAUCUGCACAGAAGUGGGCUGUUUCAGUUUCUGAUGAAAUCCAGGUGAUAGGGCAAAGAAAAAUGAAGCUGAUAUAAUUUUUAAACUUCUGAACUUAUGAAGGAGGAGCGUGGAGGAGAGCAGGAACUGAGUUACUGCUGAACAGUCAGAGCCAAGUCACCUGAACAGAAGGCAGCAAAGUGGCACCAAGAGGCACCGGUUCUCUUCUCAGUCUCUCCAUGGACACAUGUGUGCGAGUGACCAUCAGCUGUUACAAGCAGCAGUUAAUCUCUGAACGUGAAAACAAAUAUAAUACCCAUAUUUGCAAAAUAUCUUCCAAAAAUUGAUUCUCAGAUGUGAAAAAGACACAGGCAUUCAUGUCUGUACUUUCAGCCAGACCAGGCAAGAACAAGCAGUGUUUCACUAUACAGCCUGUAUGAUUUGUUGCAAAGCCACAGGAAUCGACAGCUUUGUCAUCAAUCCUUUGCUCUGGGAAUCAGCUCUUCUCCAGUGUUCACAAGGCAGCUGACCUCUAUUUUCCCAGUGGUACCAGGUUCUGCUAGCUCCUGAUCUGCUUUCCCUCAGGCAUCCGUGUACCUUCUUCCUCACUUACCACCAGGAACACCCUCCCUACAAAAAAAACUAGCAGCCCUUAGCCUUUUUCAUGUCCUCCCUCACCACUAAGUCCUACUCUGAAGCUACUACAGUCACCUAAUGACAGUCAGGCAGGUGGCAGAAGCACAGGACGCUGCUGGUUCAUUGACCGCACUGCUCUCCCUCAUGGGAGGAAAUACUUAUUUCACUUUUCUUGCUUUGUUUUUGCCUACGAAC